GAGUUGUUUGUGGCUUGGGUGGUCCAGGA
rnacentral:piRNA from 1 species